UACGUAGGGCGCAAGCGUUGUCCGGAAUUAUUGGGCGUAAAGAGCUCGUAGGCGGCUACGCACGUCCGUUGUGAAAUCGCCCGGCUCAACUGGGCGGGGUCAGCGGAUACGGUGUGGCUCGGGCAAGCUAGGGGGCAAUGGAAUUCCCGGUGUAGUGGUGGAAUGCGUAGAUAGUCGGGAGGAACACCAGUGGCGAAGGCGGUUGCCUGGAGCUUUGCUGACGCUGAGGCGCGAAAGCGUGGGGAGCGAUCCGG
rnacentral:rRNA from 1 species